GCAGUCGAGCGGACAGAUGGGAGCUUGCUCCCUGAUGUUAGCGGCGGACGGGUGAGUAACACGUGGGUAACCUGCCUGUAAGACUGGGAUAACUCCGGGAAACCGGGGCUAAUACCGGAUGGUUGUUUGAACCGCAUGGUUCAAACAUAAAAGGUGGCUUCGGCUACCACUUACAGAUGGACCCGCGGCGCAUUAGCUAGUUGGUGAGGUAACGGCUCACCAAGGCAACGAUGCGUAGCCGACCUGAGAGGGUGAUCGGCCACACUGGGACUGAGACACGGCCCAGACUCCUACGGGAGGCAGCAGUAGGGAAUCUUCCGCAAUGGACGAAAGUCUGACGGAGCAACGCCGCGUGAGUGAUGAAGGUUUUCGGAUCGUAAAGCUCUGUUGUUAGGGAAGAACAAGUACCGUUCGAAUAGGGCGGUACCUUGACGGUACCUAACCAGAAAGCCACGGCUAACUACGUGCCAGCAGCCGCGGUAAUACGUAGGUGGCAAGCGUUGUCCGGAAUUAUUGGGCGUAAAGGGCUCGCAGGCGGUUUCUUAAGUCUGAUGUGAAAGCCCCCGGCUCAACCGGGGAGGGUCAUUGGAAACUGGGGAACUUGAGUGCAGAAGAGGAGAGUGGAAUUCCACGUGUAGCGGUGAAAUGCGUAGAGAUGUGGAGGAACACCAGUGGCGAAGGCGACUCUCUGGUCUGUAACUGACGCUGAGGAGCGAAAGCGUGGGGAGCGAACAGGAUUAGAUACCCUGGUAGUCCACGCCGUAAACGAUGAGUGCUAAGUGUUGAGGGGUUUCCGCCCCCUUAGUGCUGCAGCUAACGCAUUUAGCACUCCGCUGGGGAGUACGUCGCAGGACUGAACUCAAGGAUUGACGGGGGCCCGCACAGCGUUGA
rnacentral:rRNA from 1 species